GUGCAUGCUUUGGCAGCACAUAUACUAAUAUUGGAAUGAUAGAGAAAACAUUAGCAUGGCCCCUGGUCAAGAUGCCAUACAAAUUCAUGAAGAACAUAAGCAAAGAUAU
ensembl:snRNA U6 U6 spliceosomal RNA